AUUGAACGCUGGCGGCAGGCUUAACACAUGCAAGUCGAGCGGAGAUGAGGUGCUUGCACCUUAUCUUAGCGGCGGACGGGUGAGUAAUGCUUAGGAAUCUGCCUAUUAGUGGGGGACAACAUUCCGAAAGGAAUGCUAAUACCGCAUACGUCCUACGGGAGAAAGCAGGGGAUCUUCGGACCUUGCGCUAAUAGAUGAGCCUAAGUCGGAUUAGCUAGUUGGUGGGGUAAAGGCCUACCAAGGCGACGAUCUGUAGCGGGUCUGAGAGGAUGAUCCGCCACACUGGGACUAAGACACGGCCCAGACUCCUACGGGAGGCAGCAGUGGGGAAUAUUGGACAAUGGGGGGAACCCUGAUCCAGCCAUGCCGCGUGUGUGAAGAAGGCCUUAUGGUUGCAAAGCACUUUAAGCGAGGAGGAGGCUACUGAGACUAAUACUCUUGGAUAGUGGACGUUACUCGCAGAAUAAGCACCGGCUAACUCUGUGCCAGCAGCCGCGGUAAAAC
rnacentral:rRNA from 1 species